rnacentral:misc_RNA from 1 species
GAUGAAGAAGUAGCGAAAUGCGAUAAGUAGUGUGAAUUGCAGAAUUCAGUGAAUCAUCGAAUCUUUGAACGCACAUUGCGCCCCUUGGUAUCCCGAGGGGCAUGCCUGUUCGAGCGUCAUUUCACCACUCAAGCCUGGCUUGGUGUUGGGCGACGUCCCCUUUGGGGACGCGCCUCGAAACGCUCGGCGGCGUGGCACCGGCUUUAAGCGUAGCAGAAUCUUUCGCUUUGGAAGUCGGGGCCCCGUCUGCCGGAAGACCUACUCGCAAGGUUGACCUCGGAUCAGGCAGGGAUACCCGCUGAACUUAAGCAUAUCAUAAGCGGAGGA